rnacentral:rRNA from 1 species
AUUGAACGCUGGCGGCAUGGCUAAAACAUGCAAGUCGAACGAUUAAAGCCCCUUCGGGGGUAUAUAAAGUGGCGAACGGGCGAGUAAUGCGUUCCUAACGUGCCCCAGGGCCGGGGAUAGCUCGAGGAAACUCGAAUUAAUACCCGAUAAUCUCAUCGCAUCGCAUGAUGUGUUGAGCAAAAGCUUGCUACCCUGGGAUCGGGGAACGUGCUAUCAGGUUGUUGGUGAGGUAACGGCUCACCAAGCCUAAGACGGCUAGCGGGUGUGAGAGCACGGCCCGCCGCAUCGGGACUGAGACACUGCCCGG